CUCUGUCUCCCAGGCUGGAGUGCAGUGGGGCAAUCUCGGCUCACUGCAACCUCUGCCUCCUGGGUUCAAGCAAUUCUCUUGCUUCAGCCUCCUGAGUAGCUGGGAUUACAGGUGCCCACUACCAUGCCUGGCUAAUUUUUGUAUUUUUAGUAGACGGGGUUUCACCCUGUGGGUGAGGCUGGUCUCGAACUCCUGACCUCAAGUGAUUUGCCCUCCUUGGCCACCCAAAGUGCUGGGAUUACAGGCGUGAGCCACCAUGCUUGGCCCCCAUAAUGUUACUGGGGAUCUUUCUUUUCUGCUUUGCAAAGUGUAUAAAUUCCAUCCUCAAAGUAGCCUCAUGGUCCAUGAGGGCUGCUGGCUAGCCAACCAUCACAGCAGGAAGCAGAUGUUGGGAGCACAGCAGGGCUCAUUUCCAGUUGUCCCCUCUUAUGGAGCUUUCCAGAUGACCCACUCAAUUAAUUCUUCUUACAUUUCAUUGCUACCACUAUUUACAAGGUAGGCUAGGUACAGUGUCCCUCAGAAUAAAAUCAGAGCUCAUUUCCUGCGGAACACAGCUGGGUUAUCUGCAUUGUCUGCCUCAGGCCAGCACCUGUAAAUACAGCUGGUGGAGAGGGGCAGUGGCUGAUUCUUCUGGGUGGCAAAUUUUAAAAUAUAUGCCAAGAGUGAUUCAAAUAUUCAUUUCCUCUCAUGUAGUCUCAAGUGUGUGACUUUAUGUUUGGGAAACCCAAAGAAAGGUGGAGAAGCACAUGCAUGAAGAUAUCCAUUGCCCCCUGAUUGUUAAGCAUGACAAGUCAGAAACAACUGAAAUUUCCAACAGUGGGAAAAACACAAGCAUGCUAUGUUCUGAAAUUCACUUGGUGGAAUGUUCCGUCAGUCACUGUGAUAUGGUUUGGCUGUGUCCCCACCCAAAUCUCAUCUUGAAUUGUAGCUCCCAUAAUUCCCUUGUGUUGUGGGAGGGACCCAGUGGGAGAUAAAUGAAUCAUGGGGGCGGUUUCCCCCAUACUGUUCUCGUGGUAGUGAAUAAGGAUCAUGAGAUCUGAUGGUUUAAUAUGGGGAAACCCCUGUCUCUUCGCUGUCAUUCUUCUCAUGUCUGCCACCAUGUGAGACGUGCCUUUCGCCUUCCAUCAUGAUUGUGAGGCCUCCCCAGCCACAUGGAACUGUGAGUCGGUUAAAUCUCUUUCUUUUGUAAAUUGCCCAGUCUCCAGUAUGUCUUUAUAGCAGCAUGAAAACUGACUAAUACACACUACACACUGUAAAUGUUAGUCAUGGAGGAUGUGUACCAACAUGGAAGAGUGUUUACAAUGUAUCUUUAGAGAAAAGAUGGACUAUCCAAGUAUGCAUACUGGAAUUAUCAUUAGAUUACCAUACAUCUGGGUGAGGAGCAGAACAGAGACAUAAGGUGAGUUUGUGGGCAAGGUUUUCUUUUUAAACUUCCCAAAAGCUUGCUUUACAUACAUGUAGGCUUAAAUAAUUUUUUUUUGAGAGAUAGUUUCACUCUUAUUGCCCAGGCUGGAGUGCAGUGGCACAAUCUCAGCUCACUGCAACCUCCGCCUCCCGGGUUCAAGUGAUUCUCCUGCCUCAGCCUCCUGAAUAGCUGGGAUUACAGGCACCCGCCUCCAAGCCCAGCUAACUUUUUGUAUUUUUAAUAGAGAUGGGGUUUCAUCAUGUUGGCCAGGCUGGUCUUGAACAUCUGACCUCAAGUGAUCCACCUGCCUCGGCCUCCCAAAGUGCUGGGAUUACAGACAUGAGCCACCAUGCCCAGCCAAAUAACAUUUUUCUUAUUUUAAAAAGUAAGUUCAUUGUAAAAAGUUUAGAAAACAAAGGUAAGAAAAAAAAUAAUUCUGUUGCCCAGAAAUAAAAACUGUCCAUGUUUUGAUAUUGUAUCCUCAGUAACAGCAACCGUGAACCUCAGAGGCAGCCAAGGGCUGGAGUGCAAUGGCACCAUCGCGGCUCACUGCAACCUCCACCUCCUGGGUUCAAGCGAUUCUCCUGCCUCAGCCUCCCGAGUAGCUGGGAUUACAGGUGCCCACCACCACGCCCAGCUAAUUUGUGUAUUUUUAGUAGAGACGGGUUUCACCAUGCUGGCCUCGAACUCCUGACUUCAGGUGAUCCACCUGCCUCGGCCUCCCAAAGUGCCGGGAUUACAGGUGUGAGCCACUGUGCCUGGCAUCCUUCUUUUUUUCUUCUGAAAACAACACUAUAAUGGCCAUCCUCUCCUGGUAUAUAAAUCUCUGCACACAUACUUGAGUGAUUUAAGAAUUAAUUGCCAGCCUCAGGAUGGCCCCCAAUGAUCCUUGCUUCCGUAUUCAUAACCAGCAUAGUCUCCCUUCCCAGUAAAUCAGGGAGACUGCAUGUGGCCAGUAAAUUCCAGCAGAGGUAGAUGGUGUGUGACGUCUAAGGCUGGGUCAUAAAGCACACUGUGGCUUCAGACUUUCCCUUCUGGACUGCUCAUUUUAGGGGAAGCCAGCCACCAUGUCAUAAGGACAAAGCAGCCCUGAGGAGAACCAAUCCCUUGGGGAGGAACUCGGCCCCCAGUCAGCAGCCAAUACCAACUUGCCCAUGUGUGAGUUAGUCACCUUGAAAGUGGAUCUGCUGUCCCAGCCAAGCCUUCAGAUGAGACCACAGCUCUGGCCAACACCUGACUGCAGCCUCAUGAGAGACCCAGAGAACCAUCCUGUUGAGUCUCUCUUGAAUUCUUGGCCCAUAGAAAUUGCUAGUGAUAGUAAAUUAUUCUUGUUUUUUAAACCACUAAGUUUUAGGUUAAUUUAUUACACAGCAGGAAUGAUAACUUAAAUGGUGACUAUUUUGGUCAAAAGAGGCCAGGCUCUGCUACAGUAUCAAAUAAACCACACUUGAUGGCUAAUACAAUAAGGUUUAUUUCAUACUCACUUACACCUGAUGUGGGUAGGAGGGCUCUCCUGCUUGGCACGCAAGUCCCAGGGAUGCAGAGUAUUUUCACCUAGAAGCAGGUCACUUCUUCUCACAUUCAGGUGGUGAGAAAGCUGUGUUAUCACACCCAGGAGCAUGGAGCCAAGAAACAUAGUUUAGUUGUAUGCCCCAGAAUAUAACUAAAUAAACGUUUAGUAUUGCCUCUGCCACAGUGAAUCAAGAGAAAUGAAAGUGACUACUAUGUAUUUGAAAAGUAAAAAUUCCCAGAAGUACAGAAAUGCAUAUUGAAACUGAUUCAUGAUUUUUCACUUCCUGUGGAAUAAACAAAACUCCCUUUUUGAAAUCUGAGAAUAUCCAAACUUCCACAAUUGCUACAGGAUAAACACUUCCAUAUACAGCUGGUAGGAAUAAGAAUAGGCUUGACUUUUCCAGAUGAUAAAGUUGCAAGAUUUAUCCACAGCCUUUAAAAUAUUUAUAUUCCUUGACCCAAAUAAUUUUGCUUCUGGGAAUCUAUUAUAGGGAGAUAUAUAUAUAUAUAUAUAUAUAUAUAUUUUUUUUUUUUUUUUUUUUUUUGAGACGGAGUCUUGCAUGUCACCCAGGCU
rnacentral:lncRNA from 10 species